rnacentral:snoRNA from 1 species
UUGCAGCCAAUUAAGCCGACUGUGCUCUUUUCCCCAUGGGGGCCAAGUGUGCAAUGGCUGCAAACAGCAGCCUCCUUGGUAGUGUAUGCAACCUGUUGCCUGUACAGGUAGCCCUAAGGGACCUUGGAGACAACU